rnacentral:rRNA from 1 species
CCUACGGGAGGCAGCAGUGAGGAAUACUGGUCAAUGGGCGAGAGCCUGAACCAGCCAAGUCGCGUGAAGGAUGACGGCCCUACGGGUUGUAAACUUCUUUUGUCAGGGAGCAAUUGAGUCCACGUGUGGGCUUAGCGAGAGUACCUGAAGAAAAAGCAUCGGCUAACUCCGUGCCAGCAGCCGCGGUAAUACGGAGGAUGCGAGCGUUAUCCGGAUUUAUUGGGUUUAAAGGGUGCGUAGGCGGAAUGUCAAGUCAGCGGUAAAAAUUCGGGGCUCAACCCCGUCGUGCCGUUGAAACUGAUGUUCUUGAGUGGGCGAGAAGUAUGCGGAAUGCGUGGUGUAGCGGUGAAAUGCAUAGAUAUCACGCAGAACCCCGAUUGCGAAGGCAGCAUACCGGCGCCCAACUGACGCUGAAGCACGAAAGCGUGGGGAUCGAACAGGAUUAGAUACCCCAGUAGUC